rnacentral:rRNA from 1 species
UACGGGGGGAGCAAGCGUUGUUCGGAUUUACUGGGCGUAAAGGGCGCGUAGGCGGCCUCUGCAAGUCGACUGUGAAAUCUCCGGGCUUAACCCGGAAAGGUCAGCCGAUACUGCAGGGCUAGAGUGCAGAAGGGGCAACUGGAAUUCUCGGUGUAGCGGUGAAAUGCGUAGAUAUCGAGAGGAACACCUGCGGCGAAGGCGGGUUGCUGGGACGUUACUGACGCUGAGACGCGAAAGCGUGGGGAGCAAACAGG